rnacentral:lncRNA from 1 species
GAGUUUGAGACCAGCCAGACCAACAUGGUGAAACCCUGUCUCUACUGAAAAUACAUAAUUAGCUGGGCGUGGUGGUGGACGCCUGUAAUCCCAGCUACUUGGGAGGUUGAGGCAGGAGAAUUGCUUGAACCCGGGACGCAGAGGUUACAGUGAGCCGAGAUUGUGCCAUUGCACUCCAGCCUGAGCAACAAAAACGAAACAAAUCUUUUCAGAUUGCUGGAGAUCUGAUGUGCUGCACAGUGAUGAUAAUUAAUAGUACUGUAUUGUGUGCUUGUAAUUUGCUAAAAGGAUAGAUCUUAAAUUCAGUACUACAGAAGGGAAAACAGUGUAGAUGUGAGACACAUAUAAAGAUUGUUUUGUGGCAAGAAAUGAGACCUGAGAGGU